rnacentral:pre_miRNA from 1 species
AAUAAGAUCAUUUUUUAGUUUUUUGAUACAAUGUUUUGACUCUUCAUCUUAUUUAAAUUUUUUUAUGAUUAAUAUUUUUAUUCUUACUAGAUGAUAAAACAUAAAUAGUACUUUAUGCGUGACUAAAUUUUUUAAAUUUUUAUAUAAAUUUUUUAAAUAAGACGAAUGAUCAAACGUUGGAUACGGAAAA